rnacentral:tRNA from 6 species
GGAAGGGUGCCCGAGCGGCCAAAGGGACACGCCUCGAAAGCGUGCGAGGUGCAAGCCUCCGUGGGUUCAAAUCCCACCCCUUCCGCCA